rnacentral:rRNA from 1 species
UACAGAGGGUGCAAGCGUUGUUCGGAAUUACUGGGCGUAAAGGGCGUGUGGGCGGUUUAGCAAGUCAGAUGUGAAAUCCCCGGGCUCAACCUGGGAACUGCAUUUGUGACUGCAUGGCUGGAGUGCGGCAGAGGGGGAUGGAAUUCCGCGUGUAGCAGUGAAAUGCGUAGAUAUGCGGAGGAACACCGAUGGCGAAGGCAAUCCCCUGGGCCUGCACUGACGCUCAUGCACGAAAGCGUGGGGAGCAAACAGG